rnacentral:rRNA from 1 species
UACGAAGGGGACUAGCGUUGUUCGGAAUUACUGGGCGUAAAGCGCACGUAGGCGGAUUUGUUAGUCAGGGGUGAAAUCCUGGAGCUCAACUCCAGAACUGCCUUUGAUACUGAGGAUCUUGAGUCCGGGAGAGGUGAGUGGAACUGCGAGUGUAGAGGUGAAAUUCGUAGAUAUUCGCAAGAACACCAGUGGCGAAGGCGGCUCACUGGCCCGGUACUGACGCUGAGGCACGAAAGCGUGGGGAGCAAACAGG